rnacentral:tRNA from 1 species
UAGGCCAGUAGCUCAAUUGGCAGAGUAUCGGUCUCCAAAACCGAGUGUUGUGGGUUCAAUUCCUACCUGGCCUGU